rnacentral:misc_RNA from 1 species
GAUAAAUUAAUAUUGGUGGGAUGUGGAGAAAAGUAUAUUUAAUAAAUAUGUAUUAAAAUUAAAUUAUGUGUUAGUUAUUGAUUUGUGUGUUUUAUUUGUUUAAUUUAUUUAAUUUAUGUUAUAAUUUUAUAAAAUAGGUUUUUUUUUUUUAUUGAUUUUAAUUUAUUUUUGUGAUUGUAUUGGGUUUUUGUUAUUGUGUGGG